ACAGCCAUCAGCCUGUGUUUCUUAUGCACUCAACACAGCCCUUCUGUGAUAAGUUCCACUCCUUUUGUCUUAGAAUGUGUUUUAUCUGUAUCCUAGUUUAUAUUUAAGAUCUUUGUAAUUAUGAGUAUUUUUUUGUCAACUCCUUAACAUUAGUCUCGGGAGGGAUCUAUGCACCAAAGCUCUUGGGAUGAUGCUGAAAAUCAUACAGUGUUGGAAGCUGACAAGUAGGACAAAAGGUGAAGGUCACCGUGGUAAACAAAUUCAUUUAAGUCUUUCAAUAAUGUUACCCCAUGCUCCUUUCCCCAGUUCUCAUCCCAUAUGACACAUGUGGUUCUCAUGAUAACAUUGGAAGAUUAUGUAAUUGCAUGUUGGGGGAAGGCAAUGUGUGUGUGCAUGUGUGUUUGCAUGUGUGUGGGCACAUGCAUGUUUGUCUGAGUAUGUAUGAGAGAGAGAGAGAUACAUAAUUUCUGACUGAAAACAAUCUUAAACCAGGCUUAAAUGCUUUAUUCAUCUAUAGGUUUCUGAUGGCAAUAAACAAUAAAAAUCUUUCCAACUACAGCCAUGAUCACACAACCUUUGUCUCUCAAGUUUUCUCCCGGCCACAACCAAGAUGAGGAUCGUGGCACUAAUAUAGUGGUGUCACUCUCAUGGAAGGGUCAAACAUUAUCUUGGACAUUAGUUGGAGAAAUGUUCAUUGCUGGUUCACCAGGUCAGUACCAGUUCCCAGGGUAGAGGAGGAGGAGGAAUUAAGGUUGAACAGGUCCAAGUGAACGAACUCUCUAAUAGGGAAAGCUUAUGCCCUCCCUUGAAACAGGGGCAUUUAAGAUGGGGACAUAUUAAUUACUCCAAGGCAGUUUGGGGCCAAUAUUUGAUCCUCCAUGAUUACAGGCCAAAGAAUUUAAUGGUCAGCUCCUCUAGAUGCUAAGACCCACAUUUAUACCAAAAAUGAACACCCUCAACAAGUGUUUAAGUUAUCUGAGAACAAACUGUUCUAGGCAUCUUCAUACCACACCCACAGCCUAGAAGAGUUCCUUGCAAAGGUGAAAUGCUCAAGCAACAUUGUUUGAACUGGUAAUCAAGAGAACAAUUAAUAACUUUCCCUGAAAUGCUUUGCUUUAAAGCAGACAGAUCCUUUGUGUUUUUGGUUUCUCAUACCUUUCUUAUCCAGAUCAGGAAUCACUGAGAAACUGAAUUUAAAUUUGAAGUUUGCUUGGUAAAUACAGUUGGCUCUCCAUACCCCCAGGCUCCACAUCCGCAGAUUCAACCAACUACAGAUUAAAAAUAUUCGGGGAAAAAAGAGUCCAGGAAGUUCCCAAAUGCAAAACUUAAAUUGGCUGCACCCUGGCAACUAUUCACAUGGCAUUUACAUUGUAUUUACUACUAUUUACACAGCAUUUACAUUGUAUUAGGUUUGGUAAGUAAUCUAGAGAUGAUUUAAAGUAUAUAGGAGGAUGUACAUGGGUGAUGUGCUAAUAUUAUGCUAUUACAUAUAAGGGACUUGAGCACCUGGGAAUUUCUGGUAUUGUGGGCAGGAGGCGGGCAGCUGAGGGUAUCUGGAACUAAUCUCCUGUAGAUGCCAAGGAAUGACUGUAGAGAAUCAGAGAAAUGGAAACUGUGUAGCCUCAAGAGAUGAUAUUUUCAUCAAGCUAUUAAGCCUCGUGGGUCAUUCCUCUCCACUGAAGGGUUAUGUUUGCCAAUUUUAUCAUAUGUUUGUGGUCCCUUAUCAAGUUAUCCUCUUUCCUUUGAAUGUUGUUCUUUUCCUGGAAAUACAUUCAUUCUUAUCCUUUUUUUUUUCCGGAUUCUAUAAAAAUCUUAUUGUUUGUAUUUAUUAUCAUUUUCCUCAUUUUUAUUUAAUUGUCAUUUUUUUCCUGCCAAUUUCUAGAACAUUCUCCCAAUGAACUUCUUGAUUUUAAGGUUUAAGAUCUGUAUUUCCUUGCCUACCCUGCUGAUAUUCUGAUUCAAUUUGAUGCAUGGCCAGGAAUUAACUGCAGAGUGGAUAUGACCAUCCACGGUCCCUGCUUUUAUCCUAUAGUGUCAGUGCUACGUUGAUGAGCUUUAGAGAGUCACAGUGUGAGAUGGCCAUGUGCACUAGACUUCUUGGAUUCACAUCCUGCCCUGACUUUUGCUAACUAUGUGAUCUUGAGCAUCAAUUUUCUAAAUCCCUUUGUGACUGUUUCCUCAUCCAUAAAAUACAAAUGUUAAUAACAGCUUCUACUUGGUGGGAUUAUAGUGAGAGUUAAAUGAAUCAAUAUGCUUAAAUUUCUUAGAAUAGUCCCUGACAAACAAAACACACAAACAAAAACAAUGUGUUUGCAAUGAUUAUGCACUAUUUUCUCAACCAGUAAAACCUUCAUAUUUAUUUCUUUUCAACUACCUGUAGGCACAGACACAUCUUCUAUGUUAUCAUCAUGUGGGUAGUCUUCAUUGUCACCUCAUUUUCUGACUCUGUUAGUCAUGGAGAUGUGGAUGAACAAUAAUACUUCCUCAUGUUCAUUUGCUCAUUCAUUUGCUCACUAAACAGAUAUUUACUGAGUACAUACUCUAAGCCAGGCUUUAAGGUUGGAGAUACAACAAUAAACAAGAUAUGGGAAUAAGGCAUCUGACCUCAUAAAGCUCUUAUAGAAGAGAGAGGCUUAUACAAAUGAAGUAAUAAAGAAACAAGAUAAUUACAAGAAAUUGUGAUACAAGAGCUAUAAAGAAAACGAAGGAGAUGAUCAUUUGUGAACACAAAUUUGUGACUCAUCACGAGCAGGGAGACAGCAUUUCAGGCUAAUGAGGCCAGUGAAAAGAUCCAAAAAGAAAACAACCAAGAAAGAAGCCAAAAGGGCUUGAUGGUUUGAGAAAUAGAAUAAAACCCUAUGGCUGUUAUUUUAUGAGAUGCGGGAAUGUGCUAGAAAUCUACUAAUGGAAGACGAUGGAAGCCAUGCUUAGGAGUUUGGAUUUUACCGUAAUCAAAGCAGGCAUCAACUGAAGGGUUCUCAAUAUGAUCUCUAUGUUGAGGGGAGAACAGGUUUUAGGGGAAAAAAGCAAAUAUUGGAGUCUCAUCAGGAGGUUAUUACCAUAGUCAAGGCAUAUAGAUGAUGAGAGACGGACAAUUUAAAGCAUAUUUUGGAUGUGAAGCAGACCAUCCACCUUCCAAGGAAAUGGGUGUGCACCUUAACACUGAGAAGCCACUUUCUCUGGACUCCAAACAGCAAGGCAGGUAGAUGACAUGUCCACUGGUGUGGGGGCAGGAGUCACUUAGAAUCAUUCUGUUUAUUUAAAUUAUAAAGUAUAUGAAUUAAGAGAGAAAAAAAACUGGAUCCCAAAUCUAAAUUUACUAACAAAUGAUUAUAUGUGAUCCAAAAGUCCUUUUCCAGCCAGAAUUAUAAAGUAGGUAAUGUUUGUCUUUGGCUUCACAAUGCAUACUUUUAAAAUAUUAUUAAUAAUUUUUGAGCAUUUACUAUAAACAAAGUGCCCUUCACUCUUUUUUCCAUUUAAUUCACCACAGAUCUUUAGGCAUUUACUCUUGCUUAUGCCCAAUUUUAUAGAUGUGGUGAAACUGAAUCUUAGUGAGGUAACUUUUCUAAGAUGACGAACCCGGAGACAACACAGCUAGGAUUGAAUCCUGGUGACUGACACAGGAGUCUUAAUAGAACCACUAUUUUAUACCAUUGAUAGCACUCCCUAACUCACUUUCUCUCUCUCUCCCUCUCCAUCUCUCUUACACACACAUACACACACACAAGAUUGCCUCAAAGAGAAUCUAUUACUCUCAGUCUCUCCAAAUCUACUAAAGACCUAUCGAGUUUUGAUAAAUUACAUCUUUCAUCCCAAUAGUAGGAGCACUAAUUGUGAAAAUCAAGCUUGAACAAGGCAGUAGAAUAGAUACUUCCUGAAACAGAGCAGCCUUACUGGUACCUCUGAAAGCACAUCAUAGCCAGCCCUGUGGAUAAAUGUGGCCUGAGCCAGGAAAGGAUAAAUGAUAGAUGAUUUGGAAGAAAUAAAUGACAGGAGCGUUAAAAUGUUUUAGGGCAGGGGACAUUCAAAUAAAUGCUAUUGGAUGAUUUAUUUUCCAAUAGGUGUUAUAUUCACUGCUGAAACACACCUCCAUGUCUGCCAGAAAUGUGGCCAUAAAAAAAUCUAUGUGUAUAAAAAAUUUACACUGUGGCGAGCCAACCUCAACCUUUCAUUUACUAAAGCCACCACCUUCAUUCCAAAAACACAUUUCCAACUUUCUCCUAGACUUCAGCACCUGGAUAUCCACAGCCACUACCUCAAGCAGGAUUUAAUUCAAAUUCAGCUCAUUAUCUUCUCUCCAAACAUUUAAUAUUUGAAAUCUGAGUUAAUGCCUCAUUUUGGCAGUUGCCAAUGUUAUAAACUUCAAAGGUUUCAUGACUGCCUCCCUGACCCUCACUCAGCUCUCCAAUUCUAACCCAACACCAUAGCAAAUAGGGAGAAUUCUCCUCUCCAAUUAUCUCACACAUCUACCCCUCUUUACCAUCUGUACUGUGACUCAUGUAGUUCAAACUUCAAUAUGCCUCAAAGACAAUAUCUCAGGCCAGGUUGUCUAAAAAUCAAAGGCAAAGCCAAAAUACUAAUGCUUUAUUGAGAGGAAAAGUGAAGGGAAAGGGAAAGGAAAAGUGAGGCAGGGAAGAAGGAAAAAGAAACACAAGAUGAUCUAUUUCUGAACUGGCACAACUUCUCAAGGAAAUCCAGGCCCUUCCUCAUUUCCACAAGACAGGAUGAAAACACUGCUAGGAAGAGCCUAUGGGAGAGGAAGGGUAAGCAGAUUUGCUGCUAACCCUGUCUUCCAUCUCUCAUGGGUCAAAGUCCACUCCUUUGGGCUUUAACUUUCUCACAUACCCAUCUUGGACAGCCACUGAGUAGAACCUCCAAGGACCCACUCAAGUAGGAGCUAAGCAUCAGGGCCACCACGGCUGCCCAAUUGCAGUGGGCAUGAAGGCUGUGCUGAAGCCCAGCCCUCCACUCCUGGGUAAGGUGUAACAACUGGAGGUUUGGGGCAAUAAUGUGACUCAGAUCACAUGACAGAACAGUGUGAGCAGUUGCUGGGACCAAUCUGGACAGAACAUAAAGCAAAUUGUUGAGAUCAGGGUAGGGAGCAAGAUGAUUUGGGAUGACACAAAUGGAAUCUGAUGAAGUUUACUCAGUGAUAUUCAGUUCUGCUCACAUCCUCUGAUACAUUAUGGAUCUUAGAUGUAUAGAAGAUACUCUCACUUCUUCCCCAAAUCCAGUCAUCCAAGGUUGUGCCUGUUGCCAUCUCCUAAAACAGCUCAAAAAGCAUAAUAAGCCCAAGUUACAUUCUCAGCUGCUAUUCUGACAUUUAUCAUAUCUCUCUUCUACCCAUUUUAGAUUUUCCUUAUCCUUGGCCAGAACACCAGCUAGUCUGUAUUUCUUAUCUGGGGAGUGACCUCGACCUCCAUUCUGGAAGAGUGUGAGCUAUAGUUUCCUUGUCCUUGUCAGGAUGUAGUUGCUACAACAGCCUGUUUAAAAUUAACAGAGGCACAGAGGCAGCAAGGGAAGACCCCGUGGACCUCCUCCAUUCCAGAUCUGUUCCUUCCUGCCCUCCUUUUACAGUAGAAGCUGUACGAUCUGAGAGUAGUCAGAUCAGUUACCUUGGCCUGUAGAGUUCCUUCUUUUCACCUGCUGAUUUAUUGGCACAGAAACCCCACAGGGACCAAGCAGUAUUUACAGCUUUCAGUUCUAACCCUAUAGAGCCUAAAUUUUCUAGGAUAAGAGGUAAAUGAAAGAAAGAAAUGUAGUGAAAAUAGACAAACUCAACUUCUGUCCUUUCAUUCUUCAUCCUAAAUAGUUUUGCUGUAAGGGACAUGGCUCCAUAUCCUGGUAGUCGUUAUAUCAAAUACACUGCCCUAACCCC
rnacentral:lncRNA from 1 species